rnacentral:lncRNA from 1 species
GACCCCCGCGUUGCUCUCGUGCGGGCGGCUCGGGGGCGAAACCCUAGCCGCCCGCGCCGCCACACCCUCAUCCCCCUCCUCCACCUCGCCGCCGCCGGAGCUCGCCGGCGGCGUGCCGGGAAGGCGGCGGCGAGGCCCAAACGGCUCGGCGGAACCGGCCCCUGCGCGAGGAGAAUGGAGAACACCGACGAUGGCGAGGCCAGAGGUGGAGACGGCGGUUCGGCUUGGGGCGGCGGAUCCGGCGCCCUGUGGCCGGAUCUGGCCUCUCCACCCGCGGAUCCGGUCGGCGCGGUGAGCGGCGCGACGGAGGCAGAGCGGGCGGCGAGCGGCUCCGCGACGAACGUGGAGUGGGCGGCGGGCGGCGCAACACGGGCCCCGGCCAGCGAGGCAGCCUGGCGCGGUGGCGGCGCGGGUUGGGGCUGCGGCGACGGCGCCUGCUCCUGCUCUGCCUCGUGCCCCCGCCCGGUGUCGUUGUCGGAUGGCGAGGAAGGCGAGGCCGGCGGCCAGGGCGAGGCGGCGGCCGGUGGUGUGCGAGGUGGUGUUGGCCGGACACGCGGCCAUGGCCCGAUGGCCGGUGGCGUGAGGCUGUGGAGGUGCUGCGCGAGGAGGAAGCCGGUGGUGGUGACCGGGUCAUCAGGUGGCUGGCUGCCAUUGGUGACCUCAGUGGCUUACGGCAGCACGCAGGAAGCGCUUGACCUGCGGGGUGGUAGACUGAGCUUGGGUGUUAAAGGGAUGGCGUGGUGGUCUAGCGAUGGUCGUUGUGCAGGAUGGUUGUGUGGGGUUUUGAUGGGAAACCACUGGCGAAAGCCUUGCCAGGCCAUGGGCCGGCAUGAUGACGGCGACGCCAUUUGGCGCCGUUCUCCUCCUUGGAGGUGUCGUCCUGGCGUUGACCCCUCAUAA